AUCGCAGAUUACGAUUCAUCGGUAUCCGCAUCGGUGCACCACUAGUAAGAAGUAAACAAAUAUUGAAGCUUGUAGAGUUUUAAGCCAUUUUAAAAAUAUAUAUCUUGUUAGUGGAGGCUGUGCGUACAAGUACAACCAUUAUCCAUCGUAUUUCAGGGAACCAACACAAAAUUAAGCAUUUGCUGCUGGAGAGCAAGUAAAGUUUGGAAUGAAGAAGCACUGACAUUAACAAGACAACAUGUGAAAUAUCAAGAAUAUCAUGUGAAUUUUGUUGUUUGUUUCACGUUGUCAAUAAAUUGGUAUUGCCAGCA